UCUGUGUUCAGAUAACAGCUAAUCUGGAAGAAGCUCACCGAUGGUUUAAAUGCAGGUUCGAUGGCCUACAACUUGAGCUGACAAAAAACCGGUUGCAGAGGCUUCCCCGGGAAGACAGGUGGCCAGAAGAGAAUCAAGAUAGGAGUCGUGACAUUGCAUCCAGCCAGUCUGUUCUACAUCGAUGGGAAACUAAGCAAAACCUCGGGCUUAUGUCUAAGAAGUACCAUUCUGACACAGAGAGGAAGAAAUGUCCUUGACAAAGGAAUCCUUGUGAGAAGUUAUGCCUCUAUCAUUCUGCUGGCCAGCAAGCAGGGCUGGCCUGUUUCUAUGUUGUAAAAACAUGCUGUGUGCUGAAGAUUUUGGACUUUGUCCUUUAUGAACUCUUUUAUAUUACUGCAGAACCAACCCAUCUUUUUUGUCCUUUCCCAAUUUUCCACACAAUAAAUUUACAUUAGUUUGUUUUAUGAUAGUA